CCUAAUACAUGCAAGUCGAACGGUCUUUCUAUGGAAGCUUGCUUCCACUGAGAAGAUAGUGGCGAACGGGUGAGUAACACGUGGGGUAACCCUGCCCCAGUAAGAGGGGGGAUAACAUCCGGAAACGGGUGCUAAUACCGCAUAGUUUUCUUGAUCGCAUGAUCGGGAAAGGAAAGACGGCCUUUGUGCUGUCGCUUAUGGAUGGACCCGCGGCGUAUUAGUUAGUUGGUGAGGUAAUGGCUCACCAAGACGAUGAUACGUAGCCGACCUGAGAGGGUGAUCGGCCACAUUGGGACUGAGACACGGCCCAAACUCCUACGGGAGGCAGCAGUAGGGAAUCUUCCGCAAUGGACGAAAGUCUGACGGAGCAACGCCGCGUGAGUGAAGUAAAAGGGUUUUCGGAUCGUAAAACUCUGUUGUCAGAGAAGAACAAGUUGGAGAGUAACUGCUCCAGCCUUGACGGUAUCUGACCAGAAAGCCACGGCUAACUACGUGCCAGCAGCGGC
rnacentral:rRNA from 1 species